AGAUGUGAGAGAGAUCUGACUGUUAAUUCUGUCACCACAUUGGCUGCCACCUUUGAUAUGGCUGAUCUGGUUUGCAAGGUUAGAAUCUCCUUCCUCCUCCUUGCUCUGCACACAACCCUCUCAAAGCUGUGCUCAGUUUAAGAAGAUAACCUUCCUGGAGAGACAAGGAGGGUCCUUUGAUCAAAGAUAUGAGAGUAGCUGCAAAUGCCCUGCUAAAGCCUCCAAAGAAGCUCUCAAAAAAGCUAGCCCACUGCUGUCACGUCCAUUCUGAGUCCGGGAGAUGCCACAUACGACAGAAUAAAGCGGAGAGUCCGUCUGUAUGUGUAUUCCUUGUCUUCAUUC
rnacentral:snRNA from 1 species